rnacentral:rRNA from 1 species
GACGAACGCUGGCGGCGUGCUUAAUACAUGCAAGUCGAACGGAAAGGCGCGGCUUUUGUUCCUUUCUCGAUUGCCGAACACGGGAGUAUAACGUGUGUAUCAUGCCCUUAUCUGUCGGGUAACUUCAGGAAACUCGGGCGAAUAUCCGAUAUGAUCUCCUGCUCCACUGUGUUGAUUGGAAAGUUUCGGCUGUUGGGGAUGGACUCGCUGCUUAUCCGCUUGUUGGUCGGGUAGUGGCUUACCAAGGUUUUGAAGGGUAGCCUGCAUGAGAGGGUGAACGGGCACCUUGGGACUGAGAUACGGCGCAGACUCGUACGGGAGGCAGCAGUGGGGAAUCUUGCAGAAUGGCCGGAAGUCUGAUGCAGCAACGCUGCGUGCGGGAUGACGGCCUUUGGGUUGUAAACAGAUUUGGCAUGUGAUGAAGAGGGAGUGACGGUAACGGGUAAAGAAGCAACGGCUAACUACGUG